CCUACGGGGGGCAGCAGUGGGGAAUAUUGCGCAAUGGGCGAAAGCCUGACGCAGCGACGCCGCGUGAGGGAUGAAGGUUUUCGGAUCGUACACCUCUGUCAGCAGGGAAGAACGGUCACUGUGCUAAUCAGCAGUGAAUUGCCGGUACCUGCAAAGGAAGCACCGGCUAACUCCGUGCCAGCAGCCGCGGUACUACGGAGGGUGCGAGCGUUAAUCGGAAUUGCUGGGCGUAAAGCGCUCGUAGGCGGUAUGUCAAGUCAAGGGUGAAAUCCCCGCGCUCAACGUGGGAACUGCCUUUGAAACUGGCAAACUGGAGUGUGUGAGAGGAUAGUGGAAUUCCAGGUGUAGGAGUGAAAUCCGUAGAUAUCUGGAGGAACAUCAGUGGCGAAGGCGACUAUCUGGCACAUAACUGACGCUGAGGAGCGAAAGCGUGGGUAGCAAACAGGAUUAGAUACCCUUGUAGUC
rnacentral:rRNA from 1 species